rnacentral:tRNA from 1 species
GGAUUGUGGCUCAAUGGUAGAGCGCUUGCCUAGCACGUGUGAGGCCUUGGGUUCAAUCCUCAGCACCA